AUUGAACGCUGGCGGCAUGCUUUACACAUGCAAGUCGAACGGUAACAGGCCGCAAGGUGCUGACGAGUGGCGAACGGGUGAGUAAUGCAUCGGAACGUGCCCAGUCGUGGGGGAUAACUACUCGAAAGAGUAGCUAAUACCGCAUACGAUCUAUGGAUGAAAGCGGGGGACCGGAAGGCCUCGCGCGAUUGGAGCGGCCGAUGUCAGAUUAGGUAGUUGGUGGGGUAAAGGCUCACCAAGCCAACGAUCUGUAGCUGGUCUGAGAGGACGACCAGCCACACUGGGACUGGGACACGGCCCAGACUCCUACGGGAGGCAGCAGUGGGGAAUUUUGGACAAUGGGCGCAAGCCUGAUCCAGCAAUGCCGCGUGCAGGAAGAAGGCCUUCGGGUUGUAAACUGCUUUUGUACGGAACGAAACGGCUCUGGUUAAUACCCGGGGCUAAUGACGGUACCGUAAGAAUAAGCACCGGCUAACUACGUG
rnacentral:rRNA from 1 species